rnacentral:rRNA from 1 species
AUACGUAGGGGGCAAGCGUUAUCCGGAUUCAUUGGGUUUAAAGGGUGCGCAGGCGGCCGUGCAAGUCAGCGGUGAAAGCCCGGGGCUCAACCCCGGAAGUGCCGUUGAUACUGCAUGGCUGGAAUGCGGUCGAGGCGGGCGGAACGUGGCGUGUAGCGGGGAAAUGCGUAGAUAUGCCACAGAACGCCGAUAGCGGAGGCAGCUCGCCAGGCCUGCAUUGACGCUCGGGCACGAAAGCGUGGGGAUCGAACAGGAUUAGAUACCCUGGUAGUCCACGCCGUAAACGAUGGGCGCUCGUCGUCGGCGGCAGACAGUCGGCGGCCAAGCGAAAGCGAUAAGCGCCCCACCUGGGGAGUACGGUCGCAAGGCUGAAACUUAAAGGAAUUGACGGGG